UACCACCCUUUGUUUAUUACACUUUGUUGCUUUGGCAAGCCUGCCCUCGGGCUGCUGGCUCCGGCCGGCGAGCGCUUGCCAGAGGACCUAAACUCUGUUUGUCUAUACUGUCUGAGUACUAUAUAAUAGUUAAAACUUUCAACAACGGAUCUCUUGGUUCUGGCAUCGAUGAAGAACGCAGCGAAAUGCGAUAAGUAAUGUGAAUUGCAGAAUUCAGUGAAUCAUCGAAUCUUUGAACGCACAUUGCGCCCCCUGGUAUUCCGGGGGGCAUGCCUGUCCGAGCGUCAUUACAACCCUCAAGCUCAGCUUGGUGUUGGGCCCCGCCGCCCCGGCGGGCCCUAAAGUCAGUGGCGGUGCCGUCCGGCUCCGAGCGUAGUAAUUCUUCUCGCUCUGGAGGUCCGGUCGUGUGCUUGCCAUCAACCCCCAAUUUUUUUCAGGUUGACCUCGGAUCAGGUAGGGAUACCCGCUGAACUUAAGCAUAUCAAUAA
rnacentral:rRNA from 1 species